UACGUAGGUGGCAAGCGUUGUCCGGAAUUAUUGGGCGUAAAGCGCGCGCAGGUGGUUUCUUAAGUCUGAUGUGAAAGCCCACGGCUCAACCGUGGAGGGUCAUUGGAAACUGGGGGACUUGAGUGCAGAAGAGGAGAGUGGAAUUCCACGUGUAGCGGUGAAAUGCGUAGAGAUGUGGAGGAACACCAGUGGCGAAGGCGACUCUCUGGUCUGUAACUGACGCUGAGGCGCGAAAGCGUGGGGAGCAAACAGG
rnacentral:rRNA from 1 species